rnacentral:rRNA from 1 species
AUUGAACGCUGGCGGCAGGCCUAACACAUGCAAGUCGAACAGUAACAGGAAGAAGCUUGCUUCUUUGCUGACGAGUGGCGGACGGGUGAGUAAUGUCUGGGAAACUGCCUGAUGGAGGGGGAUAACUACUGGAAACGGUAGCUAAUACCGCAUAACGUUGCAAGACCAAAGAGGGGGACCUUCGGGCCUCUUGCCAUCGGAUGUGCCCAGAUGGGAUUAGCUAGUAGGUGGGGUAACGGCUCACCUAGGCGACGAUCCCUAGCUGGUCUGAGAGGAUGACCAGCCACACUGGAACUGAGACACGGUCCAGACUCCUACGGGAGGCAGCAGUGGGGAAUAUUGCACAAUGGGCGCAAGCCUGAUGCAGCCAUGCCGCGUGUAUGAAGAAGGCCUUCGGGUUGUAAAGUACUUUCAGCGGGGAGGAAGGGAGUAAAGUUAAUACCUUUGCUCAUGGACGUUACCCGCAGAAGAAACACCGGCGAACUCCGU